UUUUGUGGUUUUCAACAUUUAGUAUAUCAAGUUUUUUUUGUUCCAGAGUCAUACCUAAAGUGUAAAUUUUGGGAUAGUCUCAUACAUUCGUUAGUCAAACUGUUAAGUCUCCCGUAAACUGAUGACAUGACGCCCAUGUAGACAAUGAUCGGGCGCCACGUGUCAAUAGGAGCCCACUUGAAUAUUAAAAAAAUUUUAAAUUUUAAAAAUACAAAAUACAACAAAUAAAUUUAAAAAAAAAAAAAAAAAAAAAAACACAAAAAAUCCCCCCCCCCCCCCCAAGCGUCUCCUACCUCCCCCUCCCUCCCUUCCUUCCUCUGCAACCCGCACCUCCUCCCUUCCAUCUCUCCUCUGCAACCCGCAACACCUUUACCAUUCCUCUCCACACCACCACCUCUUCCACCAUUCCUCUCCUAACCCCACCUUCUUCUUCCUCCUCCUUCUCCUGCACCCCAACCCUCGUCGUUGGCGAUCCACAGUCGACCUGUCCCCAAGCCCUGCGAGACCAGAAUCUCCCCCAACCUUGGAGUCAAUGCCAUUUUCUGUUUUCGUCCAACUAUUUCGCAAACCCGAGACCCAUAAUUUUUCUUCUCUCUCUAAAGCCCUCUGCUCAAACCCUAACCCUUAAAUUUCUCGGCAAAACCCUUACUUUCUCGAAGAAUCAUAGAGGAAAUGUAGCAUCAGAGGCUGAAGCAGUAGCAGCAACAACAAGCUUUGAUGCAGCAAGCUCUUCUCCAACAGCAUUCUCUCUACCACCUUGGCCUCUUAUCUCCUCCUCAGGUUUGACCUUUAUUUCUCUGUCUUGCUGAUCUAAUUUCCCGUCCUCCAACUUCAAUUAUCUUUUCGGGUUUGAUUUUGGUGUUGGUCUUCCAUCUCUGAUUAUCUUUGAGUGUGAUUACAGUACGGAAGCUAGGGUUAGUUGAGUUCCUCUUCCUUCUCGUGUUUCGGAAGUACUGAUUUCGUAAGAUUUGAUUUUCGGGAAAUUUCCUUUUGUAGGAAAGUUUUGAAUUUUAUUGUUUUGAUUUUUGAUUGCUUCUCAGUAGCAAGGUCUAAAAUAUCGAUGAUAUCGGAAAUAUCGGUAGUCCAAAAACACGGAAAUUUCGAUGGAAAUAUUGGGAUAUUAUCGAUAUCGAUAAAAAUUAAAUAAAAACCAUGGAAAUUGUAAGAAAAACUUGGAAAUUUUUAUUGAAACUUUGUAGGAUGUUUAUUUAGUCAAUUAUCUAUUAGUUUAUCACAAAAAAUUGGAAGGAAAUGCAUUGCAUGAUGGAUUUAACUGAUUUAAGUUGAUAAUAUAGCGAGCUGGCAAACAUUGUGAGUGUAGAAAAUAUGUAGUAAUUAAUGAAAGAAGUUUAAACACACCAUAAUCAUUUAUAUAUAAUGAAUUAGUACAAUAUUUUACACUUUAUACAUUGCAUGGUAAGAUGCAUGAGUGACUUAGUACUACAUAGAGUUCCUAUGAGGUUCAAAAUUUUCACUAUCUUCAUCAUCUCUAUGUGUAGAGUAAGUGUAUUGUGAAGAGUUGUCAUCAAAUGAUAAAUCCCCAAAACCAUAUAUAUAAAUAUUUUAGCAUAUUUUCAUAAAAACAUAAGUGAUAUGGUGGUCAAGGUGUUGAAGGUGUAAAAUGGGAGGGUUCUUUUUUUUUUUUUUUUUAAAUUUUAAUUUUUUUUAAUAUUCAAGUGAGUUCCUAUUGACACGUGGCGUCCAGUUAUUGUUCACAUAGGCACCACGUCAUCAGUUAACGGAAGACUUAAGAGUUUGACUAACGGAUGUAUGAGACUGUCCUCAAAUUUACACUUUAAGUAUGACUCUAAGACGAAAAAACCUUGAUAUAUUAAAUGUUGAAAACCAUAAAACAUAAAGAUAAUAAACUGAUAUUUACCCAAAUAUCCCGGAACAUGCUAAAAAAUUCGAAUAAUAACAUACUAGCGGAGUCUACAUAUAAAUUAAAGAUUGAGUUGCAUGUGGGAAGUACGCACAAGAAGGGAGUCCCAACUCAAUGGUGGAGGCCCACAUAUCCACAGCUCGGCAUUACCUGUAGUUUUAACGUGCACCCAAUCUCGGCCGUCCACGUGGCACGGUCAAGAGCAUAGGAUUUGGGGUGGGAAGCUGAGAGCCAAUGAAAUGAGAGAAUGGGUUCCUCGUUAGCAGCAAUUAUAAGCCAGAGUGGCCGUUUCCUUUGUGGAAAGAUUCUCCUAGUCCGACUGUCGUUUUAGGCUGUUAGGGUUUGUCGUACGAGUCCUCCUGUUUAUAUAAAUCGAAAACUGAGAGGUUGAAAGCCACCCUCAUUUGGCACAACAUUUGUUCUGGAGAAGAGAAAUCCCAUUGGGGCCGAUUGGGGGGGCAAGAGAGAGAAAGCUGUUUGGGAAGUGAGAAAAUUUUACAGCUUUUUGAAAGGAAAAGAAAAGAAAAUGGAGAUUUUGAAGGUUGAAUUCUUUGUGAUGGCAGUUUUUGCCCUUGUUAUCUCUCUGCUUCUCCCUUCCAUCAAUGCUCAAAGCCUCGCUCCUGCUCCUGCCCCUACAAGUGAUGGGGUGGCGGUGGAUCAAGGAAUUGCUUAUGGGUUGAUGGUAUUGGCAUUGCUCCUCACCUACAUUAUUCACUAAUGAUUCGCAAUUUUUGGAGAAAUUAAGAUCCAUCCAUGAUUUUAUAGAGAGGGAUUAAUUCUUCAAGAAACAUGUGAAGUGCAUUGUUGUUACAUCUUCUUGUUGCUAGGCUUUUGCUAGCUACCUAAAGCUAUGUUCUUGUUCAUUUGUUAUUACCAUUUUUAUCAAAAUCCCUAUUUCUUUUCAAUUUCAA